AAACAGGGCAGAUAAAGACAUGGACCCCGUGACAGCUGUGUGCAGUGCUGCAGGAGCAGUAGGUGCCGUAGUCGCUGCUCCUGCUCUUCUGGGAGCUGCUGGUUUCACCUCAGCAGGAAUAGCUGCAGGCUCCUACGCUGCAAGCAUGAUGUCUGC